GAUGAACGCUGGCGGCGUGCCUAAUACAUGCAAGUCGAGCGAACGGACGAGAAGCUUGCUUCUCUGAUGUUAGCGGCGGACGGGUGAGUAACACGUGGAUAACCUACCUAUAAGACUGGGAUAACUUCGGGAAACCGGAGCUAAUACCGGAAAAUAUUUUGAACCGCAUGGUUCAAAAGUGAAAGACGGUCUUGCUGUCACUUAUAGAUGGAUCCGCGCUGCAUUAGCUAGUUGGUAAGGUAACGGCUUACCAAGGCAACGAUGCAUAGCCGACCUGAGAGGGUGAUCGGCCACACUGGAACUGAGACACGGUCCAGACUCCUACGGGAGGCAGCAGUAGGGAAUCUUCCGCAAUGGGCGAAAGCCUGACGGAGCAACGCCGCGUGAGUGAUGAAGGUCUUCGGAUCGUAAAACUCUGUUAUUAGGGAAGAACAUAUGUGUAAGUAACUGUGCACAUCUUGACGGUACCUAAUCAGAAAGCCACGGCUAACUACGUG
rnacentral:rRNA from 1 species